rnacentral:rRNA from 1 species
UGCAGNUCGAGCGCGAAAGUGGACUUCGGUCCACGAGUAGAGCGGCGAACGGGUGAGUAACGCGUGGGUGAUCUACCCUCGAGUGGGGAAUAACACUUGGGAAACUGGUGCUAAUACCGCAUGACAUCCUCGGUUCGUUCCGAGGAUCAAAGCUGGGGACCGUAAGGCCUGGCGCUUGAGGAGGAGCCCGCGUCCGAUUAGCUUGUUGGCGGGGUAAUGGCCCACCAAGGCUUCGAUCGGUAGCCGGCCUGAGAGGGCGGACGGCCACACUGGGACUGAGACACGGCCCAGACUUCUACGGGAGGCAGCAGUAAGGAAUUUUUCGCAAUGGGGGAAACCCUGACGAAGCAACGCCGCGUGGAGGAUGAAGGCCUUCGGGUCGUAAACCCCUGUCAAUCGGGAAGAAUGCACACGACUCAAUACGUCGAUGUGUUGACUGUACCGGUGGAGGAAGCCACGGCUAACUCUGUGCCAGCAGCCGCGGUAAGACAGAGGUGGCAAGCGUUGUUCGGAAUUACUGGGCGUAAAGGGCGCGCAGGCGGUUCGUCAAGUCCCGUGUGAAAGCCCCCGGCUCAACUGGGGAAUUGCGCGGGAAACUAGCGAGCUUGAGUUCGGGAGAGGGAAGCGGAAUUCCGGGUGUAGCGGUGAAAUGCGCAGAUAUCCGGAGGAACACCAGUGGCGAAGGCGGCUUCCUGGACCGAUACUGACGCUGA